rnacentral:rRNA from 1 species
UAAUACGGAGGGUGCAAGCGUUAAUCGGAAUUACUGGGCGUAAAGCGCACGCAGGCGGUUUGUUAAGUCAGAUGUGAAAUCCCCGGGCUCAACCUGGGAACUGCAUUUGAAACUGGCAAGCUAGAGUCUCGUAGAGGGGGGUAGAAUUCCAGGUGUAGCGGUGAAAUGCGUAGAGAUCUGGAGGAAUACCGGUGGCGAAGGCGGCCCCCUGGACGAAGACUGACGCUCAGGUGCGAAAGCGUGGGGAGCAAACAGGAUUAGAUACCCUGGUAGUCCACGCUGUAAACGAUGUCGAUUUGGAGGUUGUGCCCUUGAGGCGUGGCUUCCGGAGCUAACGCGUUAAGUCGACCGCCUGGGGAGUACGUUCGCAAGAAUG